GACGAACGCUGGCGGCGUGCUUAACACAUGCAAGUCGAACGGUGAAGCGCCUUCCUUUUUGGUGGGUGUGGAUGAGUGGCGAACGGGUGAGUAACACGUGAGUAACCUGCCCCCUUCUUCUGGAUAACCGCAUGAAAGUGUGGCUAAUACGGGAUAUUCUGGGUCUGUCGCAUGAUGGGUCUGGGAAAGAUAUUGUUUCGGUGGGGGAUGGGCUCGCGGCCUAUCAGCUUGUUGGUGGGGUGAUGGCCUACCAAGGCGGUGACGGGUAGCCGGCCUGAGAGGGUAGACGGUCACACUGGGACUGAGACACGGCCCAGACUCAUACGGGAGGCAGCAGUGGGGAAUAUUGCACAAUGGGCGCAAGCCUGAUGCAGCGACGCCGCGUGAGGGAUGGAGGCCUUCGGGUUGUGAACCUCUUUCGCCAGUGAAGCAGGCCUGCCUCGUUUGUGGGUGGGUUGACGGUAGCUGGAUAAGAAGCGCCGGCUAACUACGUG
rnacentral:rRNA from 1 species